rnacentral:miRNA from 1 species
UUAAGGCACGCGGGUGAAUGC